rnacentral:misc_RNA from 1 species
UUAAUUGUUAUAUAGUACUCUGACAAUAAAUUACAGAAGUUUUAGGGUCCUCUGGCAGGCACUGACCAGCAAUAGCCAGUAGUCUAAUGGCAGGCCUGCCAAAGCAACAAAGGUAUUGUAAACAAAGGGUGGGAGAUAUACCCUGAAGGGCAUUUUCUCUUUAAUGAUCCUUCCGCAGCGGAAGUAUAGCUGCUACUUAUAGCAACCUCCCGAUCAACUCUUAACCCAUAAAGGGCCACCUCCAUUUGACCUGUGAGCCUAUUUCUAGGCUGCUGGUAUUACACAAUAAAGCAGUAAAGUGAAAAUCCUAGCACAGUAGAGAUGUUGCCUGUUAAACAGACUUGAUUUUGGCGAACCUGCAUAAAAACCGUUCACCUACGGAAA